rnacentral:rRNA from 1 species
AUGGCCACUCACCCCAAUUUCCAUGCUAGUGCAUUCGAUGGGUCCGUGCAAAACACCGAAUUUAAGUUCAGUAGCUUGUACUGGCACCACAUUUAUUCUGGACCAAGCCCAAACCAAUCAGUUUUGAUAGGUGCAGAGGCUACCACUGGGUUGGGCCAGUCAGCAGUUAACGAUUGGACGAUUUAUGGUGGGGUUGGCUCCGACGCGGAGCUAGUGGCACGCGCACAAGGAUUGCAUCUCUACGCUGGUAGUUGGCACAAUACAUUCACCCUUCGUUUCGAGAUUGAAAGGCUUAAGAAAAGCACGCUUCAGGUAAUGGGAGCAUCUGUAGAGGAUGAAGGUGAGUGGUCUAUUGUCGGCGGGACAGGUGAUCUCGCGAUGGCACGUGGUGUUGUAGCCAAAAGGCUGCAUGAGAAAACAGAUGGUGGAGACAUAGUCGAGCUUACCAUACAUGGAUUCUGUCGCAUGCAACUGCCCAUUCUCAACAAGAGGGGCCCAUGGGGUGGCAAGCAGGGUUCCGCUGUUGGUUUGGAAAAACCCUCCAAGAUUGCAAGUAUCACCAUCCAUUAUCAAGAAAUAAUUAAUUCGUUUGAAUAUAUUUACGUCGACCAAUAUGGCAACAUUGGUAACACAAAUAUUUGGGGCACUAAGAGUCCCAAUCACGCAGAGAUCGUGCUCGGCCCUGAUGAGAUAGUGACGGGAAUGUCCGGAACUGUGAUCAAACAUAAUAAUCUCGAUGUUAUACAGACACUGAUGUUUACCACCAGCAAGAAAACAUACGGACCUUAUGGAAACACCACAAAUAUACAAGGUGGUACUACUUUCAGCACCGUCGUGCCAAAUGGCCAAGCAAUUGUCGGCUUCUUCGGGCAUACUGAUAUGAAAUGCCUGAACGGAAUUGGUGUCUAUAUGGCCUAG